GGGCGUAUAGCUCAGGCGGUUAGAGCGCNNUCGCUGAUAACGAAGAGGUCCCAAGUUCAAGUCUUGGUACGCCCA
rnacentral:tRNA from 1 species